AUAAAAGUAAAAAAAAAUAUUGAAUAAAUAUUCAAAUAAUUUUACAAAUAUUCUAUAUAAUUCCAUAUAUGUUUACAGAUGAAAGUUCUCUUGAUUCAAAGAUGCCUGUGCGUUUUAGACUGGGUUUAAAUAAACAAGAUUCCAGAGAGUCAAAAGUUUCACGAAAGACGUCUAAAAGACAAGGUCGCAAGGAGUAAACUAAACGUGUGUUCUUCUGAUUGCUUAUAUAUAUAUGAAGAGUGCAUAGCUGUUCAUCUUACCUCCUAUUUUAUUAUCAGCAUAUGAAGAUAAAAUCUAUUAAAACUUUAAUUGUAUUAAAAAUUGCACUCUUGUAGAAGAAAUAUCUGUUUUAUUUGGCGUGUGAUCUAGCAUAAAAAUGAAAAAAACAUUCUUCUAGAAGACAAUAUCAAUAUUUCAAAGUACUUUUAUGUAUGAUUGUAUCUAAUUAUUUAUUGUUAAGUGUUAUAGUAGAUAGUUGAUUAUAUGUGAUUAUAAAUCAUUUGUUGUGUUAAAGUAUUUGUAAAUAAUUUACAUCAGUCACUCAUUUAAUAAAUAAGUAUCAUUAAUAAUCAAAGUCCCAAAGUCACCUUUUGUAAACCUAAGUAUAUUAGUAUUUUAAAAAAUUCUGUAUAAAGGAAUCGAUUGUAAAUAAGAAUGUUGUUAAUAAGCGUGCAAAGUGAAAAAUAAGUUGUAUAUCAUGUAAAUUGAGUUACUAAUAAUAUUAAGAUAUUGAAUACACUAUAUAAAGUGACUUCUAUAGCAAUAGAAAAAUGAUUUUAUUAAAAUAUAUUUUAUUACAUAGUUUAAAAAGUGACAAGCACGAAGAUUUGAAAUUU